GGUUUGGGCCUCAGUUGCUGCUGCCUGCUUCCUCCUCUUCCUCCUCUUCAUCUGCCUCUACUGGCUUUGUGCCAAACACAGGGCCACUAAUGGUGAGACCAGGAGGCAGGUGAAAUAUAAGAGGGCCAGCCCAGCCAUGGACAUGGAGGA